GGGGCAUUAGCUCAGCUGGGAGAGCGCCUGCAUGGCAUGCAGGAGGUCGUCGGUUCGAACCCGAUCGGCUCCACCA
rnacentral:tRNA from 1 species